rnacentral:lncRNA from 1 species
GGUAAUCUGAGCUAGCUGAGAGUGUUGAUCUGACUGCUGGGUAGUGAGAGCAGUAACAGUGUUAGCAAGGCUCUCAAAAAGCUGGCUAUGCUGUUCGAGAACCCUCACCUGAUUCCAGACUGCCUGCUGGAGGUCAUUAAACUCGGCCAUCACUUUCGGCGAGGUAUUAUGUAACGCCAGGUAGUGAGGAGUGACGAGAGCCGAGUUAAAAGUACAAACAGGUUUAUUAGCAGGAAGGCUAACAGAUACUGCUAACAGAAAAGCCAGGCAAACAGUGAUCUCACCGAUAACAGAAGACGUAGUCAAAUAUACAGUCCGAGUUCGAUUGGUUGAAGGUGAAAGGUUAUUAUUGAUGUCAUAAUCAGGGGAAUUCUGGGAAAUGGGAGUCCAGUAGUGUGGAAGGAGAACAAGGCUGCGUGACCCAAUGUAGUACAAGUUAGUAUGGAAGACAAAAGAGUGAGACAGUACUUGUUUGUUCUUUCCCUUAUAUUAUACUAACUUAAAUUAAAAUAAUUACUGAAUUGCAUUCUAACAAAAUUAUUGGAAGUCUGAUGACAUUCUGCUUUGCUGAUUAAGUGCAUUAUUGAUUGUUUCAAUAUUUGAUUGAGGCAUAAUAAUAGUACUUUAUUGUCUUUGUUAUUGUCUUUUUGAUUUUGUCGUUGAGUACAGAGGAAAGAGGAUUAAUAUAACUGAAGCUUAAAGAAGAAGGGGUCUCUACUAUAAUUCUUGUAAUGUGUUUAUGUUUGACUUUAAUGGAAAGGGCAAAUGUGGUGGUAAGCUAUUACUUUUCUAGUAAUAUAAACAGUUUUUUUGUGUUUUGUGUUGAAGGAUCUUCACUUUUCUGCAUACCUGUGAACAUGACUCACUCUACAUAUGUUUAUGCGUUUAUUUCUUUUUAUUUUUAGCAUUGAUGCUGCAAAAGAAGAUUGUUUGUUUGGGAGGUGGGUUAAUGAUGACCAUAAGCACCCAAAUUGCAGAAUGAAGAUGACUGAAGUAGAUGGGAAGCCACAUCUCUGCCUGUUUGCCAUACAAGACAUAAAAAGAGGAGAUGAAGUAACAUACGUUCAUGGAGGAAGUGACUGGCCAUGGCGAAAAAAGGAUAAAAGAUUAGCUCCCAGCCCUCCCGGAUGACAAACAAGAAGAGGACAUCUCCGCCGAAGACGAUGGCAGCAGCGACUCAUCCCCGGCUGAACAACCACUUUACCAUGGAGUCCAUGUGGCAUGCUGGCCGGCGGAUGGUCACCAUCCACGUGUUCAACCCCUUUGUGGCAACUAAAUCCGUCCGCCAAUUUUUAGAAGAGUUUGAAGAGGUCCAGCCUGGGGAACGCAUGGUCCGGGAUGAGCGGGGAGGGCGGAAGGGGGCAGCCCGCCUUCUGUAGGGGGUGCCAGAAGUACGGACAUCAGGUCGAGGGGUGCAGGGACAUUGAAUGCAGAAAUUGCCUGGGGAACGGUCACCUGGCUAAGGACUAUAACAACAUCUCAUCCACUCUUGCCCCGUCCAGGUGCAGUCCUAUGCCGAGGAGGUGAGGGACGCACCAUCUGCAGGGGCCGUAAAGAUCUACAGGAUCCAGGCCCCUAUAUUCUCCACCCCGGCUGAGGCCAGGCGCUCGGCCCGGUCUUACCCCCUCGACCUAGUAAGGAGGCACCCCCUGGUCCUGCUCCCUGACACCAGCGGCAACAAAGAGAGUAAGGGAGGGAGCCUCAGAAACUCAGAAAUUUGCAAAUAACCAGAUCUUGCAAAUAACUGAUAUUUACGACAGAGAGGUAUUUUAGAGAACUGUCUCAGCUGCCUUCCUCCGCUCUGCCAGUAACAUGUCAACACCUUCCCUUUAGCAAGCUUUAUGUCAAGUCAUGUUGCCUACCAUAGUAUCACACCUUUAUUCAUAAUGCAUUUGUUUAUACUUCAUUCACGUGAUUAGUAUUAAUUAUAGUAAAGUUAUUGAGUAUAAUAGAAAUUUCAAAGCAUAUUUGUAACAUUGUGUAAACUAAGAUUUUUCAAAUUGAUGUUUCAUUUCAUGAUGUCUCUUAAUAUUAAACUCCUUAAUUACGGCAAUUUUUAGACUCAUUUGCCCUUUUUCUGCGCUACAACUGCGCACUCUCUCCGCUUUUAGACUCUUUGGCCCGUUUUUCUGCGCUAAAACUUCACUCUCGCCGCUUUUAGACUCUUUGGCCUGUUUCUGACACCUAACGUUCAAACUUUGAAUCUCACAUUAUAAAAACCUGCUUAACAGCGGACCAACUUUCAUUCUAUUUCUAAAAUACAUCGCGGGCCGCUCCAAAAAAGGAAACGGGCCGCAAAUGGCCCGCGGGCCGUAGUUUGGACACCCCUGCUCUAAUAUCUCAGUGCCUCUCAGAAAUACCCGCAUGAAUGAAGGAGCAGCAUCACCUCCAGCUAAACAAGACUGAACUUCUGUUUAUACCAGCCAAACCAUCUAUCCAACACAACUUCACCAUAACCAUGGACUCCUCUCUCUCUCUCCUCAACAAAGGUUGCUAGGAAACCGGGGUAUGCCUCCCUCUGAUGUAAUGAUGACAGCACAACUAAUUAGGGGUUUAUUCCUAAACGUGAAAACUGUAAUACAAAAAUGACACAAUGAAAUAAACAAAAUAACUGUGCAUGCUUCUCUUAAACU